rfam:Triticum aestivum genome assembly, contig: Triticum_aestivum_CS42_TGACv1_scaffold_405849_5BL
GAAUUACUCCCUCCGUCCGGAAAUACUUGUCGAAGAAAUGCUUAAAAAUAAAUGUAUCUAGAACUAAAAUACAUCUAAUUACAUCCAUUACUCCGACGAGUAUUUCCGGACGGAGGGAGUACCUC